AUUGAACGCUGGCGGCAGGCCUAACACAUGCAAGUCGAGCGGUUGAGGUAGCUUGCUACCGAUGCAGCGGCGAACGGGUGAGUAAUACAUGGGAAUCUGCCUGGUAGUGGGGGACAACGUUUCGAAAGGAACGCUAAUACCGCAUACGCCCUACGGGGGAAAGGGGGGGAUCUUCGGACCUCUCGCUAUCAGAUGAGCCCAUGUCAGAUUAGCUUGUUGGUGAGGUAAAGGCUCACCAAGGCGACGAUCUGUAACUGGUCUGAGAGGAUGAUCAGUCACACUGGAACUGAGACACGGUCCAGACUCCUACGGGAGGCAGCAGUGGGGAAUAUUGGACAAUGGGGGCAACCCUGAUCCAGCCAUGCCGCGUGUGUGAAGAAGGCCUUAGGGUUGUAAAGCACUUUCAGUGGGGAGAAAGGUGAUUCACCUAAUACGUGAGUCAAUUGAUGCUACCCACAGAAGAAGCACCGGCUAACUCCGUGCCAGCAGCCGCGGUAAUAC
rnacentral:rRNA from 1 species